UACCAAGACAAAACAAAUCAAAACAAAUAAAAUAAAAUGAAGUGCAAAAUGUGAUUUAAUUAUUCAGACCACGCAAACCAAAAUUCUUGCCAACCGAACAAACAAUGUUUUUGAGCCAAGGAACAUGAGUACCAUUUUGUUAAAUUGAUAAUGAAUUCUGUAACAGCACUCUUUUUCAACAAAUGGCUUGUCUGCUCCUCGAAGAGGGAUUUAUUGGGAUUUCUUGACAUGUUUUGCAUGCUGCCAGUCAACGGCCAACACAGCCGGCCUUUAACCAGGAACCUAGCAAUCCAUUCAAGUCCGUCCAUCCGUAGACCCGUCGAUUUGCGGCCUGUCAGCCGAUUGCCGAAACAAAUGUAUUCCCCGGCGAAGCCCCAUGAGUUUCAAUCUCAAGCUCAGCCCAAUAUUUUACUUUCAAUCUGCCGCAUUUACGAUUCUGUUAAAUGUUUCUUUAGUUGAUUACUAUUGUUUCCCAAUCACUAAUCAAUUGCACCAGCAAACAUUUCAUUUAUCAAUUACGGUUGCAAGCGAAAAAUUCUCGUUUGAAUGCCAUUCGAUGCAGGCAAAAACAGAGGCUCACAAAAACACGGCAUACCAUGGUUUACUAUAAUUAAAUGAUAAAUUGCAGGCAAGUCGGUCUAUGUUUUGCUGAAUCCAUUGAAUUACGUAUGCAAAUUCAAAUAGAUGGUUCCUGGUGUUUUUCGUUCUCAAACAUUCUGGACAAGUAAGAAACAUGCUUUGUCCAACGCAAUAUAUUAAACAAAUGAAUUAUGAAUUCAAGCGCUGAACCAACUUCACACUGCCACGUGGGCUUGCACAUGAAUAUAAAAUUAGAGCAUUUUAAUGAAAGCCACAUCUGAAACCGCAAGCCAAGCAUUAAUUGUCAAUCAACACAACACAUUUGGGAUCCAGCAAGUGAAAUGUUUUGGCUGCAGUGACACUGAAGAAUCAGGGGAGAGACAGUGAGUGCCAGGGGUAAUGGAAGCCGACAGAUGCGAGUGAUGGUGCUUCUCGACGAGGCUUCCGAUUAACAUCACUGGGAAACAGGUGGUGGAAUGGAGUGAAUUGAGAAUCCAGCAACAUUCCCACCGCUCUUAGGGUAACCAAACUUCCAGGCGGCAGUCGCUAAAUAAAUUAACCCGUGGCCUCCGAGUGAGUAAUGAAUUGGCUUGGCGCACCUUAAUGUGUCCUUGAGCGGGCCAACCAAAAACAAAUUGCAGCCAAUGUAAAUGUACGAGAUCCCGAAGUGAGGCGAAUCCGGAACACAAUACUGUUUCCAAUUUGGAUGGGAAAUGCAACUGCGUUCAUCGGGAUUUCAAACUAAUGCCGUGCAGUUUAUCAUCCGGCACAGUGGGACGCCGAGGACGCUUGUGGCUGGCAGCUGCAGCUCGGUGCACGGGCACAGUGGGCGAACCGAUAAUCUGGCCGGGCUCCUGCACUUUAUUUAUAGCUCCGCAUACCAUUGUGCGCAACACUCCAUUAUAGUUGACCACCAGAGGCACCUGCCUCCGGAUCACCUAUCCAGCCACCCACCCACCCUCUCCUACCCUCGCACAUGCCCGGCAGUAUGUGGUGUGUAGUACGUCCGGGUCUCUGGGGUCACUUAAUGGCGCCACGUCCACCUCCAUGUCCACUGCCGAGUCUGUGUUUGCUUAGCGUCUAGCAACUCCCACGUCGAACGGCUGUCAUCAACGUAAUUAUGCUGUCAACAAAAAAGGAGAAAAAGCUCAACGUGAAAAAGAACGGAUGGUCCAGUCUUGGGCUGAGGGGGCAGUGCCGGGAUCCGAGGAUGAGAGCCGAGAAGCGACCAGGUCAUCGUCGUCAUUAUCAGCUCGUCGUCUUGCGGACCCAACGACAAGCAGUGGUAUUAAAUGUUUAGCACGUCUUCCCCAACCCGACUUCUUGUUCUUGGACCCUGGCUGUUUAGCCGAGCUCUCGUGCAAAUAUUUAUUUAAUGCUCAUUGGCACGCACUUUACACGUCUUCUGGCUGACUGCCUAAUUGUGCGUUGGGCGCUUAACAUUUUUUUUGCACUUCAUUUGCACCCGAAUGGCAGUAAUUAAUAGAAAAUAUAAAUUAACAGAAAAAAUAA